AUAAGAAAAUAAAUACGGAAUCAUUGAGGAAAACAGAAAUUGCCGGCAGUUAGCACGAUCUCCUCGAAGAACGACUGCCGGGGCGCACGAUUGGAGACGGAAGGCGGACGUGGGAGAUGAUUGGAGUGGAUAUGGCUUCCUUAUUAUUCACCCCACUCUCAAUUUACGGUUCAUAUAAAAGGAGAAGGGAAAGAGGAGCAGAGCAAAAUCAAACCCAGAAAGAGGAAAAAAUUAGAAUCAAAUCGGAGACUUUCAGAUUUCGUGUUCCAUUGAUUUGGGUAUCCUAUUUCCAUUGAUGUGGGCAGAGCUGAUUCUCAAUCAAACCCAAAAGGCAGAGUAAUAGGUAUCAACUCGAGCGAAAAUCAAAAUUAAAAUCAAAAUCGACUCAGUUUUGGCGAAUUACCUAAAGGUGAGACUACCUAAUUGUGACAGGGUAUUUUGGGGUUAAGUUUCCAUUGAUUUGGUUUUGGUGAUUGCCAAAUGCUGCUUCGCUUUCUUUCAAUUUUUGCAGGUAAAUGUAUGGGAGAUUUCGGAACAUUGUGAAAGUUGGUGUCGCCUAAUAUUAGUUGCAGUGGAGCCACCAAGGUUUCAGUAAGGCCAUUCCGCAGUGGUUAAUUAUAACUCAAACAGAGGAACAAAAUUAAAAUCAAAAUCGACUCAGUUUUGGCGAAUUACCUAAAGGUGAGACUACCUAAUUGUGACAGGGUAUUUUGGGGUUAAGUUUCCAUUGAUUUGGUUUUGGUGAUUGCCAAAUGCUGCUUCGCUUUCUUUCAAUUUUUGCAGGUAAAUGUAUGGGAGAUUUCGGAACAUUGUGAAAGUUGGUGUCGCCUAAUAUUAGUUGCAGUGGAGCCACCAAGGUUUCAGUAAGGCCAUUCCGCAGUGGUUAAUUAUAACUCAAACAGAGGAACAAAAUUAAAAUCAAAAUCGACUCAGUUUUGGCGAAUUACCUAAAGGUACCUGUAAAGUAUUUGAUUGGGGACUUGAAAGGAAAAGCGCAAGACCAGUCUUCUUGGUUCGUCUUUCUUGGAGCAUGUUAAGGAGAUAUUGGAACCUGAUACUCUUAUUGCUGCAGCGCCUUGGGUGUACUACCCAAUAAUUGAAAAGUAUUCAAUAUAUUUGACAUAGCUCUUCAGCGCUUCCAAACCGAGCAUGGAAAAGGGUUUCCAACUCAUUUCUCCCAGAUAGGGGCUCCUGACUUCUAUACCAUUCAAAGGCUGACAAGGUUGGAAAAAGCUUCAUUUUUUUUAUCACUGCUCUGAACAAGACAGGUCUGAUGGUUUUGAAUUCAUUGUAUUAAAUCCACUUCCUACUCGCAUUAUGCUCUUUAUGAUCUUCGCUCAUGAUUCAAUUGCCAUGUAUUUGGCUAUUGAACCUCAAAGUUUAUGUUUUCAUGUGAUCAAUCAAUGCAGCAAGCUUCAAGGACGCUAUAAACACAGACAUGCCAAAAUACUGCAACCAUCAAGUAAAGAUGCGGCCUCAAGUAAGGCCUUGAUUAGAAUUUGAUCUAAUUCAAACUCGCCGUAUUUGAUUCCUUAUUGAUUGUUAUGGGACAAGUUUCUUCAUCACGCCCUCAGCCAUCGAAUGAUGGCCAGGAACCAUCCCGUGUUCAUGCACCCAAUGCAGAAAGGCAAAGUACAAAUACCUCUCAAGGAGAGAGGAGACAAUCAGUGAGUUCUUCAGAAGCUAUUUUAUCGCAGUCUCACCCACUGGAUGAAGAUCAGGUUAAUUUGCAUGAAACAUUGUUUCGUUUGUUACAUGUAAACAAUUGAUUGAAAGCUUCAUAGCAGGGAUUUGGGAUUUUAGGAGCUGAUGAAAUGCUUAGUUUGUACCUGUAUUAAUGCAAGAUGAAUAUUGGUUGCUGGUGUUAUUUCAAAAAAGAAUUACAUGUGAAUUUCAAAGGCUUAUGAGGUUAUUGAAA